AAAAAAAAUUUAUGAAUCAAACCCACUCGAUCGUCUCUGUUUUAGAUGUUGUUGUUGUCGAUUUUUUUUUUUCCCUUCUUCUGUGGAUCUGGAUCUUUCUAUACUCCAAAAUGAUGAUGAUGAUGAUGAUGAUGAUGAAGGAAAAGGUGUGGAAAUUUUGAUAAAGGUGUGGAUCUGGAUCUUCUUCUUUGGAGAAAUUUUGGGUUUCUUCUGGUUCUGGUUCUGCUUGAUGAUCAAAGAAAAAAAUGUGGUGAUCCUGCCUCAGUGAAGGCGAGUGGACGUUUUGAGAGCGCAAGGCUCUUUUGUUUAGUUGUUGUAUUUUUAACGAGCCAAGGGCUUAUGUGUAUGGGUUUGUGAACCAUUUCCUUGUAACUGGGCUUAAGCUUUGGAACUUGUGGCACAAGGGGCUUUAUUUUGUAAUUGUUUCUUUUAUUAUUUGUCUUACAUGUUAUAGAUUCAUACUUUAGAGAAGAUUAAAUAUGUAUUGUAUGUGGACACCUUUUGUACAUCUCUCGCAUAUCAAGAAAUACAAGUAUGGAGAAUUAUUUAGUAUUA